AAUCAACGCUGGCGGCGCGCUUAACACAUGCAAGUCGAGCGAGAAAGCGGGAGCAAUCCUGUGAGUACAGCGGCGCACGGGUGAGUAACACGUGGAUGAUCUGCCUCUGAGUGGGGAAUAACCCUGGGAAACCGGGGCUAAGACCGCAUACGCCUGGGAAGGGAAAGCCGCAAGGCGCUCGGAGAGGAGUCCGCGGCCGAUUAGCUAGUUGGUGAGGUAAUGGCUCACCAAGGCGGGGAUCGGUAGCCGGCCUGAGAGGGCACACGGCCACACUGGC
rnacentral:rRNA from 1 species